AUGGCUGAUAAAUCUUCAGUGUAAAUGGCAGAUUCCAAACAGUAUAGCCAAAGCCAAUACGUCAGAGAGAGAAACAUAAUCUGCCCUCCCGUUCUCAGAGCAUGCCUGGAAAUGGUGGUACGCACAUCCACUGACCGACUGGCAGCUGGUGAAACUUGGAGUCAGGCACCAGAGAGAAGAGAAAGCUCUGGGUUUUCUCCAGGCUCUCAGGUAUGUACCCCCAGCUCCAAGCAGCAUGCAGCGCUAGGCUGGAGUUAGGAAAAUCUUCUGAUUUACUCCUGGGUCUUUUCUUUUGUUUCCUCUCUCGUUUUCUUUUCUUCUCUUGAAGCAGUUCUUUCCCUUGAAGGGGUCCUUUAAUUACCACACUCUGGACUAACCAUCCAAGCUGCAAAACCCUUAAAGCAGCUCAAAGUGUCCUGCUUCCACGACUGCCCUGCAGCCUCAGCAGGUUUCCCUGCCGAUGGAAGCAAUUUCUCUCGGGCAGCCACUUCCUGCAAAGCAAGAACUGAGUGUGGUGUGUUGUUUAAGGGGCCUCUUUAUCAUCUAGAGGAACAGAGAGCUUGGAAAAGGAACAGCAACAGAAGAAGCUCCAAAGCGACAAGACUCUGAAGUGACAGAAAAGAACAGAGACCCCCUUUGAUAUAACUAAUACUCUCUCUCUCUCUCUCUCUCUCUCUCAGGGCUUGUCUUCCUUUUAUGGUGUCGUGUGAUACUGCAUAGGAAAGAGAGUCAGGAGGAGGGUUUGCAGAAAGAGGAGCAGAUGGAUGGGAUUCACACAAAAGACCCAGCUCAGUGGGUCGCCGUGCAUGGAGUGGAAGCAGAAAAUUCUUAAACCAAAAGAAUCUGGGAGCAACUUGGCCCUGUCGUCUAUUGCUAUCUCUCAGACAUGUUUGAAACCAGAACUUGUGCUUAGGCUUGCGGCCUCCACAAUUGACUAUGGACGUUAAAAUUUCGUCUUCGACUGAACUGUUUUGGUUAAUUGUUUACGGUUAUUUUACAUUAUUUUAGGUAUUUACAUUAUUGUAGGUGGACCUGAUUUUCCUCAUGUUCUAAUUAGUAUUUCUUUCCCUGUGUUUAUUGGUUAUGAUGAUGUUCUGUUUAAAUGAUUUCACGACUACUACCCUAACAAUUUUAAUACCAUUUUUCUAAAUUUCUAACAGUUGUUAGAAAGCUGAACCGAGAUAAUAUCUUCUUACUACCUCAACCUCUAGAAAUAGUUGGUAUAGAUUACUAAUUAGACAUAAUGUAUAUACUGUUUUUAAACAUAUGUACAAUCAUCCAUUUGUGUUUCUAUAUGCAUAUAUAAUUUACAAUGCUUAAAUUAUGGUAGAAGACACUCUCAGGAAGAGAUUUCCUGAAGAGAGCUGGGUAGUUGUGGGAGAGGGAGAAAUUUAUUUCCCUAUGUACCUUGUCUAGAGGAUGAGCAUCAUAAAUUGUAUUUUCCUUGUGAGUCCAUAUGUCUCAUUUGCUUAAAUGAAUAUAUGGGUUGUGUGUACUCUAGUGACUUCCCUAUCUGCUUCCCCUUAUAGGGUACAGGUAAAUAAACUGAUUAUUUAUAUUGAUAAUAAAAAUAAGCAAAGAACCGAUUUUAGAACCUAUUCUGUUUCUUCAGUGGAUUUUUUUUAAUUGAGUGAACCAGAUAGGUACAUAUAGAUCUAUCCAAAGGCUUCCAGACUAAUCUUAGAACACGCCAUCUCCAAAAUGUGGGUUUUCUUAUCCUUUUUUUUUUGGUUCUUUUUUUUUUCGGAGCUGGGGACCACACCCAGGGCCUUGCGCUUCCUAGGCAAG